rnacentral:rRNA from 1 species
UUGAACGCUGGCGGCAUGCCUUACACAUGCAAGUCGAACGGCAGCACGGGAGCAAUCCUGGUGGCGAGUGGCGAACGGGUGAGUAAUACAUCGGAACGUGCCCAGUAGUGGGGGAUAGCCCGGCGAAAGCCGGAUUAAUACCGCAUACGACCUAUGGGUGAAAGCGGGGGAUCGCAAGACCUCGCGCUAUUGGAGCGGCCGAUGUCAGAUUAGGUUGUUGGUGGGGUAAAGGCCUACCAAGCCUUCGAUCUGUAGCUGGUCUGAGAGGACGACCAGCCACACUGGGACUGAGACACGGCCCAGACUCCUACGGGAGGCAGCAGUGGGGAAUUUUGGACAAUGGGCGCAAGCCUGAUCCAGCCAUGCCGCGUGCGGGAAGAAGGCCUUCGGGUUGUAAACCGCUUUUGUCAGGGAAGAAACGCUCUGGGCUAAUACCCCAGAGUAAUGACGGUACCUGAAGAAUAAGCACCGGCUAACUACGU